UGGGAAUAUUGGACAAUGGGCGAAAGCCUGAUCCAGCAAUGCCGCGUGAAUGAUGAAGGCCUUCGGGUCGUAAAGUUCUUUUAGCAGGGAAGAAGGGCAACUUGACGGUACCUGCAGAAAAAGCACCGGCUAACUCCGUGCCAGCAGCCGCGGUAAUACGGAGGGUGCAAGCGUUGUUCGGAAUCAUUGGGCGUAAAGCGCGUGUAGGCGGUUUACUAAGUCUGGUGUGAAAGCCCGGGGCUUAACCCCGGAAGUGCAUUGGAUACUGGUUUACUAGAGGACGGGAGAGGGAAGCGGAAUUCCUGGUGUAGGGGUGAAAUCCGUAGAUAUCAGGAGGAACAUCAGUGGCGAAGGCGGCUUCCUGGUCCGUGCCUGACGCUGAGACGCGAAAGCGUGGGGAGCAAAC
rnacentral:rRNA from 1 species